ACGUAGGUGGCGAGCGUUAUCCGGAUUUACUGGGCGUAAAGCGUGUGCAGGCGGGGAACCAAGUGGUGUAUGAAAGCGCCCGGCUUAACCGGGCAAGGUUAUGCCAGACUGGUUUUCUAGAGUGCGAGAGAGGGGCGUGGAAUUCCGGGUGUAGUGGUGAAAUGCGUAGAGAUCCGGAGGAACCCCAGAGGCGAAGGCGGCGCCCUUGCUCGCAACUGACGCUCAGACACGACAGCAUGGGGAGCGAACGGGA
rnacentral:rRNA from 1 species